AUUGAACGCUGGCGGCAGGCUUAACACAUGCAAGUCGAGCGAGCGGCGGACGGGUGAGUCAUGUCUGGGAAACUGCCUGAUGGAGGGGGAUAACUACUGGAAACGGUAGCUAAUACCGCAUACCAUCAGAUGUGCCCAGAUGGGCUUAGCUAGUAGGUGGGGUAAUGGCUCACCUGGGCGACGAUCCCUAGCUGGUCUGAGAGGAUGACCGGCAACACGGGAACUGUGCAACGGUCCAGACUCCUACGGGAGGCAGCAGAGGGAAAUAUUGCACAUUGGGCGCAAGCCUGAUGCAGCAAGGCGGCGUGUGUGAAGAAGGCCUGCGAGUGGUAAGGCACUUUCAGAGAGGAGGCGUUAAUCGCAGAAGAAGCACCGGCUAACUCCGUGCCAGCAGCCGCGGUAAUAC
rnacentral:rRNA from 1 species